rnacentral:lncRNA from 1 species
UGGUCCCAUGGUGUUUAUACUUGCAUACUAUUGUUUGUACAAAUGACCGUGGUACCUUCAGGCGUUUGGAAACUGCUCCGAAGGAUGAACCAGACUUGUGGAGGUCUACAAUUUUUUUUCUGAGGUCUUGGCUGAUCUCUUUUGAUUUUCCCAUGAUGUCAAGCAAAGAGGUACUGAGUUUGAAGGUAGGCCUUGAAAUACAUUCACAGGUACACCUCCAAUUGACUCAAAUUAUGUCAAUUAGCCUAUCAGAAGCUUCCAAAGCCAUGACGACAUUUUCUGGAAUUUUCCAAGCUGGAAUUGUGAUACAGUGAAUUAUAAGUGAAAUAAUCUGUCUGUAAACAAUUGUUGGAAAAAUGACUUGUGUAAUUAAAAAAAUAUAUAUAUUUCACCUUUAUUCUUUUUUCAUGCACAAAGCAGAUGUCCUAACCGACUUGCCAAAACGAUAGUUUGUUAACAAGAAAUUUGUGGAGUGGUUGAAAAACAAGUUUUAAUGUAAACUUCCGACUUCAACUGUAGUUGCGGUAAUUGAGGUAAUGGUAGAGGGUGGGUAGAGGUAAAAUUGACUAGGCAAUCAGGAUGUAUAAUAAACAGAGUAACUGCAGCAUAUGUGAAGAUGUAGGUAGUGUGUGUGACAAUUUCUAGGGCCUUCCUCUGACACCGCCUGGUGUAGAGGUCCUAGAUGGCAUGGAGCUCAGCCCCAGUGAUGUACUGGGCCAUACUCACCACCCUCUAUAGCUUCUUGCGUUCAGGUGCCUUGCAGUACCAAGCAGUGAUGCAGCCAGUUAAGAUGCUCUCAAUGGUGUAGCUGUACAACUAUUUCCGGAUCUGAGGGCCCAUGCCAAAUCUUUCCAGCCUCCUAAGGGGGAAGAGGUGUUGUCAUGCCCUCUUCACAACUGUGUUUGGACCAUGUUGGGUCUUUUUUCAUUUUAUAUUUAACCUUCAUUUAACUAAGCAAGUCAGUUAAGAACAAAUUCUUAUUUACAAUGACGGCCUACCCUGGCCAAACCCUAACAACGCUGAGCCAACUGUGCGCCGCCCUAUGGGACUCCCAAUCACAGCCGGUUGUGAUACAGCCUGGAAUCGAACCAAGAUCUGUAGUGACACCUCUAGCACUGAGAUGCAGUGCCUUAGACCGCUGCGCCACUCAGGAGCCCAAAGGAUACGACACUAACUAACAUUAGUGUGGAGAGACUUGCUGUGUCAUAAGUCUGACCACGUGGUGGCCACAAUAUUCUCUCUCUCGCUUUCUCACUCACACACACACCGCAUGCAUACACACGGACACACACCUUUUGACCUCUUCACCAUCUUUCGUUAUCUCGCAUACAUGCACACACGACUUGACCUGCACACAUACAAGGCUGACAGAAAUAGUGGUGGAGGGCACACAAUUUUCCACUAAUGUUGUUUUGUUUGUGGUUCAACGCUCACAGACUAAAGCUAGUGGAUUAUGUAACAAAGACAGACAGAGAAAAUGUCAUUAAGACAAGACAAGAGAAUGGGCUGAACAGAGGAAAUUAAGAAAGGAAAUACCCUAGUUUUGAGACAUCCACCACUCCCCCUCCCUUUCCCUAGGCCUCUUCUGUGCAGUACCAAGAUUGAUUCGUCACUGUAUUCUUCUCUACCUCAGAUGGGUCAUGUCAUUCCAGGUGGUGACUGUAACAUGUGGGCUGAUGAUUAUUCAUUCAUUCUCAUCACAAGUAGAUUCUGUGCUGCAUUCAUGAAGC